AACAGUUUUUGUGAACGGGCUUGUUCCAGUUCUGCUGCUUCUGAGGGGCCUCUGGAAAGCGGGAGGAGGGAGCUGGGACAGAGAGGCCCCUGGCUGACCCUUCCUGAAGCUCCAGCUUCCAAGGGGUUGAACCCUGAGUUCCGGUCACCUGGGAUCUACGCCCCCUAGUGGUGAGACGAGAUAUAACCUCUGCUAGAAAGGACCCAGUGGAAGCCACAGCUCUGCGGUGAGAAUCUCCCAGCUGCGAGUUAGGGUCAAGAUUAGCUGAGACAGUUCUGUGCGGUGGUGGCCCAGGGCUCAGACCUUCCCUUGUGUUGACUGGAAUUGGGAGCUGGCGGUGGCGGUGGACAGCAGAGGCCCCCGGCCCUGUCCCAGCCCCGAGCCUCUCCAGAGUGCUCGGUCCCCUGGGCUCAGGGCGCUCCCGUCUCUGGCUGCUCUGGUCCCAGGAAGCUGAUGAACGUAGCUCUGAGCACAGCCCCCGGGGAACCUGGCCUCGCCCCACCAGUUUGAUCACUAUGAACUUCAGCUGGUCUACCUAACCAUGGAACAUUGUCCAGAGAGAAAUCUGCAGCAUGAAACUUCAGAAACCACAUUCGACAUGUUUGAUCAGUCACAGCACCGUCUCCAUACACUGCACAAGGCCCAGGUCCUGCUCCACUCCACCCUCCCCCGAGCCCUCCGUAAACUGAAGACGACCGGCUGAGACCUUCUAUUUCCGUCAAAAGCCAUUUUGAAGCAAUUCUACACUCUGCUUUCAUUCUCCCGGGAAAUCUGCACAGUCUGAGAAAUUAUAAGGCGUUCUGCUCUGUCGAGUGCCCUUCCCAACAAACAGAUCCUGUCUCUCCUGCACCCCCGGGGCAGGAGGGGGGUGACAGAGAGACCCCGCCCGGGUCUGGGCUGUUUGGGUCCCUCCCACUCUGUCACUGACUCACCAGAGGGGCCCCAGAUGGCCAGCAGCACAACCUCUCCCGGAGAAAAUGCGUCUGGGGCCUCCCCCAGCCCUGUCCCACGCUGCUAGUCCAGGUGACUAGCUCCCAGCCUGUGCUCUUUUUACUGCGCUGCCCUGGGGCUCACCUCUAUUUUCCUCUCCUUUCUGCUCUUUUUUCUCUGUCUCUGAGCCUUGAUGGGACAUUCCUGGCUUUCGGUGACAGGCAGGAAUGCCACUCAAUGUCACUGCCUGAGGCUGACCGUGACCCUCUGCCCUUGGCCCCCUGUACCUUGGGUUUCCACACCCAUGUCACAGAGCAAGCUGCCAUUUUCUGCCCCUUCUGUCCCUGAAGGGGCAGAAAAUAUUCUGCAGGGUUGCUGCAAUUUUUUCUCUAAAGUUUUGCAAAAUGUGGGUUGGGUGUAAUUUUAAAUUUGGUUUGUCUGAGCUUUGUUUA